rnacentral:rRNA from 1 species
UGAUAGGAAUGCUUAGUGGCGGACUGGUGAGUAACGCGUGAGGAACCUGCCUUCCAGAGGGGGACAACAGUUGGAAACGACUGCUAAUACCGCAUGAUAUAUCGAAAGGGCAUCCUUUUGAUAUCAAAGAUUUUAUCGCUGGAAGAUGGCCUCGCGUCUGAUUAGCUAGAUGGUGGGGUAACGGCCCACCAUGGCGACGAUCAGUAGCCGGACUGAGAGGUUGACCGGCCACAUUGGGACUGAGAUACGGCCCAGACUCC